rnacentral:rRNA from 1 species
CCUACGGGAGGCAGCAGUGGGGAAUAUUGCACAAUGGGGGAAAGCCUGAUGCAGCGACGCCGCGUGAGUGAAGAAGUAUUUAGGUAUGUAAAGCUCUAUCAGCAGGGAAGAAAUAAAGUCCUUCGGACUUUGGACGGUACCUGACUAUUAAGCCCCGGCUAACUACGUGCCAGCAGCCGCGGUAAUACGUAGGGGGCAAGCGUUAUCCGGAUUUACUGGGUGUAAAGGGAGCGUAGACGGCAGCGCAAGUCUGGAGUGAAAUCCCAUGGCUUAACCAUGGAACUGCUUUGGAAACUGUGCAGCUGGAGUGCAGGAGAGGUAAGCGGAAUUCCUAGUGUAGCGGUGAAAUGCGUAGAUAUUAGGAGGAACACCAGUGGCGAAGGCGGCUUACUAGACUGUAACUGACGUUGAGGCUCGAAAGCGUGGGGAGCAAACAGGAUUAGAUACCCGGGUAGUC